rnacentral:rRNA from 1 species
UACGUAGGGGGCAAGCGUUGUCCGGAAUUAUUGGGCGUAAAGCGCGCGCAGGUGGUUCUUUAAGUCUGAUGUGAAAGCCCCCGGCUCAACCGGGGAGGGUCAUUGGAAACUGGGGAACUUGAGUAUAGAAGAGGAAAGUGGAAUUCCACGUGUAGCGGUGAAAUGCGUAGAGAUGUGGAGGAACACCAGUGGCGAAGGCGACUUUCUGGUCUAUAACUGACACUGAGGCGCGAAAGCGUGGGGAGCAAACAGG